UACAAUCUCAGGAAGUAGUUUUGAAGAUAAGUAAUUUCUACAAAGUAACGUUAUUCGGCCUGAAGUAUUAGAAUAAAACGAUCUACUUGAAGGUGGAGAUGGGGUAAGAUCCCUAGGACACGGCAUGGAUGCCACAUCACCACAGGACCGUAUAUAUUGAAUGUGAAUUGCCCACCACGGCAUGCUGCGACAAGGGCCUGGAUGGUGACACACAUCUGCUUCAAGCUGCCUGACUGAAUACUGGGGCCUUCAGUGGUGCCUUCCCCUUUGAUUACAGCAAGAGUCUCCUUAUCUGUCUCCUAGCCAUUUAAAAUGUAUUUUAUGCAACCAGUCAUUCAUACAAUAGCUGACUUACAUUCAUGUGUCUUUGUCCUAUUCUUCAAGCUGGUCUGGGAUAUAUAUUUUAGUUGGCACACCCGUGUUAUGUCUUAUACAGAGCCUUCAGAAAGUAUUCAGACCCCUUGACAGGUACAGAGCCUUCAGAAAGUAUUCAUACCCCUUGACUGGUACAGAGCCUUCAGAAAGUAUUCAUACCCCUUGACUGGUACAGAGCCUUCAGAAAGUAUUCAGACCCCUUGACUGGUACAGAGCCUUCAGAAAGUAUUCAGACCCCUUGACUGGUACAGAGCCUUCAGAAAGUAUUCAUACCCCUUGACUGGUACAGAGCCUUCAGAAAGUAUUCAUACCCCUUGACUGGUACAGAGCCUUCAGAAAGUAUUCAGACCCAUUGACUGGUACAGAGCCUUCAGAAAGUAUUCAUACCCCUUGACUGGUACAGAGCCUUCAGAAAGUAUUCAUACGCCUUGACUGGUACAGAGCCUUCAGAAAGUAUUCAUACCCCUUGACUGGUACAGAGCCUUCAGAAAGUAUUCAGACCCCUUGACUGGUACAGAGCCUUCAGAAAGUAUUCAUACCCCUUGACUGGUACAGAGCCUUCAGAAAGUAUUCAUACCCCUUGACUGGUACAGAGCCUUCA